rnacentral:lncRNA from 1 species
CUAAUCAUUUUUUUAUUAUAUUAUAUUAUAUUAUAUAUAAUAAUUUAUAUUAUGUUAACUGUAUAAUGUAAAAUUAUUAUACACUAUUUUGUAUAAUAAUAUAUAAUUACAAUACAUGGAGCUUUCUGCUUUGGGCAUUUUCAAAGCAGAUUGUAAUGCUUUCUUAAUCCCAUUUUCUUCUAAUUGACUUUUGCAGCGAUUCUCCAUUCCUCCUCGCUGCGGCGAUUAUGGCUUCUGUUGCGAGCCAAAACCGUUUGUUCAGAUCAAGACGACAGCCGCUGCACCGGAGUUACCACUCCAGCAUCCAAAGCUGGCUCGAAGCAGCAAGCACCUUUCCGGCAACCAUGCAGCUCCUCCAAACCUGCCCAAUCGAACUUUACAAAAUCUCGUCUAGAAGACUAAUGUUUCGGUAGUGUUGUUUUGCAUUUGUUUUAUUUUGGCUUGAAAUUUCUUAUUGCGGUGUAUAUUUUGACAACUUGAUGCAGAGCAUUUUUUGGAUUCAAUUAAGUUCUUCUAUUGAUUCUAAUUUCAUUCAUCGAAUUGGUUAGUGAUGGUUUUGGAUUGACUUUUGGCAAGAUCCAAAUGUCUUUAGUGUCACAAGUGAAAAUUCUAAUUUUGUAAUUUUAUUAUUAUUAUUUUUUAAUUAUUUUCAUUUUCUAAAUAUAAACAAUCCCUUUUUUUAUUAUCUUUUUCUUAAUUUUCAUUCUGUUGUCUAACUGAAAAAAUCCAUAAAAAUUUGCACCGCUGAUGCACUAUCAUGUAAUUAUUUAACAAAAAUAAAAUCACACGGCCUCCUUGACAUAUUAGUUUGUAUACUAAUUGCACAACUGAGAAUUGUUUACUGAUGUCAAAUUUGUUAUAGGUCCUGCGUUACAAAGUGUCUCAGUUGCUGGAAUGAUGCUGAGAACAAAGUUUCAACCAUCUGUUUUUUUGUUGAUGUUAUCCCCUUAGUCUCCAAAAGGGUCAUGGAAUGAUGCUGAAAAAAAAGUAAGAGGUAAUGAAGGAGCCAUGUUCGCAUGUAAGCUAAAGGUGGAAAAAGGCUUGACCAAGAUGGGGCCAAGGGUGGUAGUACCUAAUGCCAAAUCACCUCAAAAGGAAUACGUGAAGCAUAUUGUCACUGUAACGUAAUUCAAGCUCAGCCUUUACGUUGUCGCUCUCUCAUUCCCACAAAAAUGAAAAACAGGGCCCCAUUGGUAGGGUGAGGAUAAAUAGUUACUAACUCAAGCCUUAGGGAAAGGCAUUUAACUUUUCAAUGUCCAUUCAUAGACAUCAUCAUUUUGUGUCACAAGUCACCUACCUUUGAUCCCUUUUGGGCACAUAAAAUAUGUAUACAAACCCUUUUUCUUAUACCUUUACUGUCUUCUUUACCUUCCACACUUUCAUAUAAAUCCAUCCCAGUCAAACCUUUCAUUGAUUCCGUCGGAUUCAAUCAAGAUUUUAUCUUUACAUUCAUUUUCUUCGUCUGCCUUUCAUGCAAGUAUAAUGCCUCUUCAGUUCUAUAUCAAAAUUUAUAGUUCACAAAUCUCAUUUAUUGCUGUAUACUAUUUUUCCAC